GAUGAACGCUAGCGGCAGGCUUAAUACAUGCAAGUUGAGGGGCAGCAUGAUAUACGCGAGUAUAUUGAUGGCGACCGGCGGACGGGUGAGUAAUAGGUAGGAGACCUACCUCAUACAGGGGGAUAGCAUAGAGAAAUCUGUGGUAAUACCCCAUGAGGUUAUAUGAAUAGAGGCAUAUAAUCAAAGUAUAAGCGAUUAUGCGGUAUGAGAGGGGCCUACUGACCAUUAGCUAGUUGGUGAGGUAAGGGCUCACCAAGGCGAAGAUGGUUAGGGGUUUUGAGAGAGAGACCCCCCACAUUGGAACUGAGAGACGGUCCAGACUCCUACGGGAGGCAGCAGUAGGGAAUAUUGGGCAAUGGGCGAAAGCCUGACCCAGCCAUGCCGCGUGAAGGAAGACGGCCUUAUGGGUUGUAAACUUCUUUACUACGCGAAUAGAGGUUAGUACGAGAUACUAAUAGGAAGGUAGUGUAGUAAAAAGCACCGGCUAACUCCGUG
rnacentral:rRNA from 1 species